ACAUCCAAGAUGGCGCCCCCAGGAGCUGGGAGCGGGUGACCGGCGGCGGGGAAGCGGCCUGGGCUGGCCCUCAGAUUGCGGGGUCCCGGGGGCCUGUCGCGGGGCCCCCCCGUGACCCACCGACCAGGCCUUCCCCCGGGCCGGAGAGAUGGCCGCCGAGAACAGCAAGCAGUUCUGGAAGAGGAGCGCCAAGCUACCGGGGAGCAUUCAGCCUGUGUAUGGGGCUCAGCACCCUCCUCUGGAUCCUCGGCUCACAAAAAACUUCAUCAAAGAAAGGUCGAAAGUCAACUCAGUUCCUCUGAAGAACAAGAAGGCCUCCAGUUUCCACGAGUUUGCGCGGAAUACCAGUGACGCCUGGGACAUUGGUGACGAUGAGGAGGAGGACUUCUCCUCACCUCCUUUCCAGACUCUGAACUCGAAAGUGGCUUUGGCGACUGCAGCCCAAGUCCUAGAAAACCACAGCAAGCUGAGGGUAAAACCGGAAAGGUCGCAGUCGACAACAUCAGACGUCCCCGCCAACUACAAGGUCAUAAAGUCCAGCAGUGACGCCCAGCUGUCCCGAAACUCCAGUGACACGUGCCUGAGGAACCCGCUCCACAAACAGCAGUCUCUCCCUCUCCGACCCAUCAUCCCCCUUGUCGCCCGGAUCUCAGACCAGAAUGCUUCUGGGGCUCCUCCAAUGACAGUCCGGGAGAAAACGCGCCUGGAAAAGUUUCGCCAGCUGCUUUCCAGCCACAACACUGACCUAGAUGAAUUGAGGAAGUGGAGCUGGCCAGGCGUUCCCAGGGAAGUUCGACCAGUGACCUGGAGACUGCUGUCGGUGAGUUCCAACCACCAUGAAGAGAAGCUUGGGCCUCAGACAGCCCUCUGCCUGCCAAGGGCUAUCUCCCGGCAAACACCGAGCGGCGGAAGUUGACCCUGCAGCGGAAGCGGGAGGAGUACUUUGGCUUCAUUGAGCAGUAUUAUGACUCUCGGAAUGAAGAGCACCACCAGGAUACCUACAGACAGAUUCACAUUGACAUUCCGAGGACGAACCCUCUCAUCCCCUUGUUCCAGCAGCCGCUCGUCCAGGAGAUCUUUGAACGAAUUCUGUUUAUCUGGGCCAUCCGACACCCCGCCAGUGGGUAUGUCCAGGGAAUUAAUGACCUGGUCACUCCGUUCUUUGUCGUCUUCCUCUCGGAAUAUGUAGAAGAGGACGUGGAGAACUUUGACGUGACCAACUUGUCUCAGGACAUGCUGCGAAGCAUUGAAGCCGACAGCUUCUGGUGCAUGAGCAAGCUGCUGGACGGAAUACAGGAUAAUUACACGUUUGCACAGCCAGGGAUCCAGAAGAAGGUCAAGGCGCUGGAAGAGCUCGUCAGCCGGAUCGAUGAGCAGGUACACAGUCACUUCAGGAGGUACGAGGUGGAGUACCUGCAGUUUGCCUUUCGGUGGAUGAACAACCUGCUGAUGCGGGAACUUCCCCUACGCUGCACCAUCCGCCUGUGGGACACGUACCAGUCUGAGCCAGAAGGCUUCUCGCACUUCCAUCUCUAUGUCUGCGCCGCCUUCUUGAUCAAGUGGAGGAAGGAGAUUUUGGAUGAGGAAGACUUUCAGGGCCUCCUCAUGCUGCUGCAGAACCUGCCCACAAUCCACUGGGGCAAUGAGGAGAUCGGGCUGCUGCUGGCUGAGGCCUACAGACUCAAGUACAUGUUUGCAGAUGCCCCCAACCACUACCGCCGAUAGGUGCUGUCUCCCCUGGGGACCCAGACUGCCCCCAUCUCUGAUGGCAAUUUCAUCACUGUGGCCACCGUGGACCCCGGCCAGGAACCACUCCUGCUGUACAAAGCUCGCCCCACACCGCAGCCGCAGCCACCACCACCACCGCCACCCAGGUCUUAACUUCCCAGCAUCCAUCACUUCGUCUCUGGGUGUGUCUGGGACGACUGUCAGUAUUCUGUCCCGUGUGGAUAGGCCCGGCUCUGGGAGAGGGCCGAGAGGAGGUGAGAGUUGUCCUUCCCUCUGGAAGACACUGGACAAAAAAAGGGGAGGCCCCGGGUCUGCCCCACAGUGUCCCACACGCACCCGCGGCCGGCCGGCUCUGCCCGGGAACCAGCUGGUGACGCUUUCUCUUACUUUCUUUUUUUAAACAAGGAAAACACACAUUUUCUAAAAUGCCCAAGGCAUAGAACAUUAGGCUCUGUGCUGUUGCUUCUGUGACUCAGUUUGAUCUGGUCACUGGUCAGAGACACUUUGUUUUCAAAACACUCCGCACCUCCCUCCUUUUCCCUCAUCCCCCCCCCCCCCCCCAGUCCUCCUGUCCCAGAUGAGCCAGUGACACAGUGAGUGAGCCCUUCCUUCUCAGGCGGAGGAGUCAGGCCUGUGCUCAAGGGCUGGGAAAUAUGUUUGUCCUAUCCUCACAGAUUAUCUGUUCCCUUGUGAGUGGAGUGUGCCCGAGUAUGUGUGUGUGUGUAUGUACACCCGCGUGCAUGAGUUGUAUGUAUGUGAGUGUGGGUAUGUGAGCGUGUAUGUGUGCCCGCGCGCGCACACAUACACAUGACUGUGUGAGCGUGUGUGCGUGGUGUGUGUGUGUGUGUGUGUGUGUGUGUGUGUACAAGCCCAUCAGCAUUUUGUCACAUGUCUGAAUUUGUGUCCAGACUAACCCAUCAGAACCGGUUGGGAAGGACCCCAGGGACCAAGCAUCUGAUGGUCCCUCAAGAGGGACCAGGGCCGGGGAGGGAGAAAGAGGGUUAUUUAGUUCUGUUUUAACCACCUCUUGGAACCCUAUUUCCAGGGUGAAGCACUCCAAGAUAUUAUGUAUAAAUUGUGUUAUUAUGUAUAUGGGUAAAGGUGUACAAAUCUAUGUCCUCUUUGUAGCAGAUAGGAUUUUAUAUUUAUAGCGUGCAUCGACACGUGAAAGCGAGCUAGGUCAUCAGCACAGAUGAAGAUGCUUAGGGGAGGGGCCUGGGGCCUGGAGGAGGUGGCUGGAGGGUGUGGCCAACAAUCAGUGUCUCCACCUUCCCCCCUCUCCCCUUUCUUCCAUCCUUCCGUGGCCUCUGUCUUUCCCUUCUCCUCACCCCAGGAAGGACUGUAGAGGCAGAAGGGCUCCCUCAGGUUUGCCGGCCCAGCCUUUGUCUUCUCAGUGUAAGUCAGCACUGUGGUCAGGACGGAGCUGGUGACAAGUCAGUGCCAAGAGAAGGUCCCUGUGUGUCCCCAAGACCGGGAGCUCUUCCUGGAAAGUGGCAUUAAGUGUCCCCUACUGCCACCAUCACACCCCGAGGCUCAGGGGACAAGGACACACGCUAGAGUUCUGGCAUUUGGUAGUGGAGAAAGGAUGGAGGCCAGUGGUUGUCGUCCCCUUGGGGUGCCAGGCAGAGUUCCCAGGUGUGACACCGUGAAGCUCACUUCCUGUGUCACUCACCUCAGGCCACACCUCACCCCUGUGAGUUAGCUCCCUCAGCCAGGCUGUUUCUCAGGCGUUCUUCCCAUCCCCCACCCUCCCCUCCUGCACCUCAGUAGCCUCCUUCACUCUCUGACCCUCCCUCCGACACACUGAGUAAAGACAGAGACUUGUGUUCCCAAGUGGUGGUUUUAUUUUUUUAGUUUAUGUCUGUCUGGGAAAUUGUGGAUAAAGUGAAUGGACUGUAAAUAAAUGGUGUUUCCUCCUC